rnacentral:snoRNA from 1 species
AUAUUAGAUGAGAGUUAUUGUCGCCCCAGUCUUAAGUUGCGUCCAAUUUAUUGGAUAUGCAAGGUGGUGAUUGACACAGAAUAUCUGAUUC